GGCGGAGUGUCCGAGUGGUUAAGGAGACUGAUUAGAAAUCAUUUGGGUUCGCCCGCGCAAGUUCGAAUCUUGUCUCCGUCG
rfam:Claviceps purpurea 20.1, WGS project CAGA01000000 data, contig: scaffold00015